rnacentral:lncRNA from 1 species
AAAUUAAAGAGUAGCCAAAAUAGUAAAUUUCCAUCAAGAAACAACUGUGUUCUUAGAAAGCACUUAAAUUCAACACAAACAGUAAAACUCUAUUCUACAUCAAUGCAAAUGCUACAGACCAAAAAUACAUCGAUGCAAAGAUAAAUAAUUCAAAAGUACACAACAAAACUCGAGAUAAGGCAACAGUUUUCAUAACAGCCAAGUACAUAAAUAUAAAUAAAUUGCAGAAAUAACUUAAAGCUUGUCUUCAAACUCAGAGAGGGGAGUCAUUUGCUCCUUGAGUCCCUUCCUCUUGCGGAUGUCCGUCACAAGCUGUGCAGCUUGUGAUCCAGCUUCCAAAGGAUCUGAGGUCAUGGUGUCCCAAUGAUCAAAGACACACUGGGGGAAAGCCUGCCCAGAUGUUGCAGCUCUCAACUGACUGGAAAAUCCAAAGGACUCAAUGACAGGGAGGUAUGCUUUGAUGUUGUAAAGUGGGGUACCGGGCCUCUGCAUUUCUUCAAAAACGUGUCCACGUUUCUGAUUAAGAACACUGUAGAUACCACCAAGAGCUUGUUCAGGAGCUUGGAUUUCCACCAUGUAAACAGGCUCCAGAAGCCUGGGUUUGGCUGUGAGCUGUGACGCAUAGAAGACUCUCCUAGCAGUAGGAAUGAUCUGACCACCUCCUCUGUGGAUAGCAUCAGUGUGCAGGACAACAUCGCAUACUUCAAAGCAGAUGCCUCUCAUGUUUUCUUCGGAUAAAGCACCUUCUUUUGAUGCCCACUGGAAUCCAGCAACCACGGAAUCCUUGAUUUCAUUCAAAUACUGAACUCCCUUACACAUAUCAACCACCAUGUUGGGCCCGGUGGUCUCAGGUCCAAAACACCAGAUUUUCUUGGCAAGAUCCUUGUCCCAACCAUACUGUUCGGACAAGAUCUUAGAACGAUUCUUGGGGUCAUCCCUUGGUCCUAUUGUGCCCUCAUCAAUGGCCUCUGCAAGUCCUUCCUCCAAUGGUCUUGCUUCCAUGUACAGCCUGUUGUGCUUGUUGGGUGAUUUACUCAUCACUGUGCGGACUGAUCUGUCAAGAACAGUCUCCCUGAAUGACACAACAGGGUCAGAUUUAAUAAUCUCAGCACCACCCAUGAAAUCAUCCUGCAAGUCUUUCAAACAGAUCUCAAGAUGAAGCUCUCCUGCACCAGCAACAAUGUGUUCUCCAGACUCCUCAAUAGUACAAACAACCAUAGGAUCUGACUUAGCCAAACGUUUGAGACCUUCAACAAGCUUGGGAAGAUCUGAAGCGACCUUGCACUGAACAGCAACACGCACAACAGGGGAGACGGAAAACUUCAUAGCUCGGAUAGGGUGGGCAUCAACUUCCUUCUCAUUUGUCAAUGUAGCAUUCUUUGUAAUAAAUUGAUCCAAACCAACCAAAGCAACAGUGUUACCACAAGGCACAUCCUCAACAGUCUCCUGUCUCUUUCCCAUCCAAAUAACAGUUCUCUGGACACUUUUCGUGUACAGAUCUUUCUUCUCUCCAGGGAUGUAAUUUGGUCCCAUAAUCCUCACCUUCAAACCUGUGGAAACCUUACCGGCAAACACACGGCCAAAAGCAAAAAACCUUCCUUUAUCAGAUGCUGGAAUCAUCUUUGACACAUAAAGCAUCAGAGGUCCUUCAGGAUCACAGUUUCGGAUGGCAUUUGCAUAUUGAUCGUCAAGGGGGCCCUCAUACAAAUUCUCAACACGGUACCUCUGGGCAGUUGAUGGUGAGGGAAGAUGAAAGAUCAUCAUUUCAAGUAGGGCAGUACUUGCAGGCAACCAGGUCUGCAUAACACGUUUCAUCAAUGGCUUACCCAUCAGGUCCUUCUCUUCAGACUUCAUGGUGACCCCUAGCUUUGUAAGCAUAGGCCACAACUUAUCCUUCUGAUCAUUCAUACAAGUGUUGAUGAUCUGCUUGAUAGGCUCAUAACAGAACUGAACAAACCCACGCUUGCAAGAAGCUGAACCAGUAUUCUUGGUGGUCCAUUUUUUUGUGGCAGGAUCGAAGAAAUUUUCACCCCAGAGCCUCUCCAUCAUCUUGGACUCAUCAACGCCAAAUUUUGAGGCAUACAUUUUGGCAAAGUUGGUCAGAGUAAAAGCCCAACCAUGCAAACCAGCAGAAAAAGCAACUGUUCCUUUCUCUGGAUACACCUGAACAUCACCAAGAAGUGGAUCUUCAUAUGUAGCCAUGAUCACAUUAGCAUUCUCAAUCACCCUUGAAAAGGUCUGGUACGCCUCCUCUCCAUCAACCUGGAGCUCAAGGAAGCACCUGUCCAUCUUAUUAACUGUAAGAACAGGCCUGAUCCUUUCUCCAAGAGCUUGUCGAAGCACAGUUUCAGUUUGGACACAUACACCUUCCACACAGUCAACCACCACAAGUGCUCCAUCAGUAAUACGGAGUGCAGCAGUAACCUCAGACGAGAAGUCGACGUGCCCAGGGGAAUCAAUGAGAUUAAUGAGAUACUCAUUUCCAUUACGCUCCCCCUUGAACCUCUUCAGAGAUUCAUCAGUCAUUUCAUAGUAGAGUGAGAUACCGGUACUCUUGAUUGUAAUACCACGCUCAGCUUCAUCAGCACGGGUGUCAGUCAUACGGACAUCACCAGCAACUUCCUGGGCAAUAAUUCCCGCAGCAGCGACUAAAGAGUCGGUUAAGGUCGAUUUUCCUGCAAAUAGAAACAGAGAAAAAAAUUGUUCAGACCGGCAAACUAUAGUACAUAUACAACAUGACAAAAACUAUAAUACGCUCUGAUUUGCAGGAAAAGUUUUAUAUAUGACAAUGAUACUUUUGAAAAUUGUAUGACAACAUUACUAUGUGAUCAUCGUUAGAACAUAAAAAAUCCUGCGGAGUAUUAAGAAAAACUAUAAUCACAUUAAGAAAUUUGUUUGUUAGAGAUUUUCAAAAAAAAAAAUGAGGUUUUUAGUAGCAAACCAUCUAAAAAUGAGAGGAUUUUCCUGCAAACCAUUUUUUUAUAAUUGGUUUUAUUUAAAGGUGAUCUGGUAAAUAAACACAAAACAACUUCUACUUUUCUCAAAAAUCUCUAAAAGUUAAUAUCUUGAAUUAUUGAGUAUCAAAAUCACUUUUUAUAAUUCGUAACAAAUAAGAGAGCAACAUCACAGUUCAAAGCAAUCAAGAAAAGGCUUGGAGUCCAUACCGUGGUCAACAUGAGCAAUGACAGACAUAUUACGGAUGUUGUGCUUGUAGUCCAUAAUACGACGUAACUCAUCAGCUGUGAACUUCACCUGUUGAUAGUAACACAAAUCUCAUGUCAGAUUAUGAAAACUCAAAAGUAAAAAUAAUAAAAAAUCAAUCAGUGUUGUCCGCAAACUUACCAUCUUGACUAGUCUUUUUAGGCCGCAAAAAAAGUCUUCAGUACUGAAACAUCAAAAAAUUGAAGUUAGUUAAACAUGAAACAUCACAAAUACAACAACAAUAACAAGGGUUAUUGAUAUUAACGUCAAAAAAUAAACAACGAUAACACAAAGAUGACAAAUCUGUAAUCAUGUGAGUCAAUAACGGAUACUUAUCUCAGUUUUUAUCAAAAACUUUAAAACAAAAUUAUUCAGAUUUAUGUAUCAUAUUACCAUAACCCACUCAUCUCAGUAUAUAAUUAUCAAAAACAAAAACAUGUUAAAUAUUAUCACUUAAAAACAAAAAAACACAGCAACCAUUAACUACAUAACACAACAAAAACAAAUCUGAAAAACAAAGUUCAAAAAAAUCAUAUAUUCAUGUCAGUAUUUACAAUAGAUUCGUUACUUACAAUUAUCUAACAGUAACAUCGAAAUCAAAAAAUAAUAAAAUUAAAAACCUAAUAACAUGUGUUUCGAUUAACUUAAUCUCAUAUAUUCAAACAAAUUCAUAUCAAAUAGUAGUGGUAAAAAUAACCGAUUAUAUCCAAGAAAAAUUAUUCGCACAUAAAGUCAACAUAGCUACAUCAAUUUAAACACAAAAAAUCAGUCAGAUAUCAAAUCUAAAAGAAAAAGAAUGAAAUAAACACAGAAACAGUUCAGAUCUGAAGCAAAUCGAAGUGAAAAAAAGUGUGAAGAAAAAAACAAGUACCGAUCUGAAUAAGAACAGAGAAAAUAAGUAAGAAAACGAUAAGAGAGAUGAAAAAUUGAAGGAAGAAAUCGAACCUGAAAGAGAGAGCGAGAGAAAGAGAGAGAGGCGGCUAAGG